AUUGAACGCUGGCGGCAUGCCUUACACAUGCAAGUCGAACGGUAACCGGUCUUCGGAUGCUGACGAGUGGCGCACGGGUGAGUAAUACAUCGGAACGGGCCUAGUAGUGGGGGAUAACUACUCGAAAGAGUGGUUAAUACCGCAUGAGAUCUACGGAUGAAAGCAGGAGAUCGCAAGACCUCGUGCUACUAGAGCGGCCGAUGGCAGAUGAGGCAGUUGGUGGGAUAAAAGCUUACCAAGCCGACGAUCUGUAACUGGUCGAAGAGGACGAGCAGCCACACUGGGACUGAGACACGGCCCAGACUCAUACGGGAGGCAGCAGUGAGGAAUUUUGGACAAUGAGCGCAAGCCUGAUCCAGCAAUGCCGCGUGCAGGAUGAAGGCCUUCGGGUUGUAAACUGCUUUUGUACGGAACGAAAAGCCCUGGGUUAAUACCCUGGGGUCAUGACGGUACCGUAAGAAUAAGCACCGGCUAACUACGUGCCAGCCGCCGCGGUAA
rnacentral:rRNA from 1 species